ACGACCUUACUUGAACAGGAUAUGUUCUAUAGGAUCGUACUACUGUGUAUUGUUCUCAGCUAGCUUAGUCUGGUUGGGUUGGUCACACCGUUAUCUGAUAGAUU
rnacentral:snoRNA from 1 species